CCCAAGCUUUAGGAGCCCAUCCAGACC
rnacentral:piRNA from 1 species